ACGAACGCUGGCGGCGUGCUUAACACAUGCAAGUCGAGCGGUAAGGCCCCCUUCGGGGGUACACGAGCGGCGAACGGGUGAGUAACACGUGAGUGACCUGCCCCUGACUUCGGGAUAAGCGGCGGAAACGCUGUCUAAUACCGGAUAGGUCCCUGUCGUUGCAUGACGGUGGGGGAAAAAGCCUUGCGCGGUCAGGGAUGGGCUCGCGGCCUAUCAGUUUGUUGGUGGGGUAACGGCCUACCAAGGCGAUUACGGGUAGCCGGCCUGAGAGGGCGACCGGCCACACUGGGACUGAGACACGGCCCAGACUCCUGCGGGAGGCAGCAGUGGGGAAUCUUGCGCAAUGGGCGAAAGCCUGAACCGCAGCGACGCCGCGUGGGGGAUGACGGCCUUCGGGUUGUAAACCUCUUUUACCACUCACGCAGGCUUCCGGUGUUCCGGGAGUUGACGGUAAGUGGGGAAUAAGGACCGGCUAACUACGUGCCAGCAGCCGC
rnacentral:rRNA from 1 species